rnacentral:tRNA from 1 species
UCCCACAUAGCUUAGUUGGUAAAGAAUCUGCCUGCAAUGCAGGAGACCUGGGUUCGAUUCCUGAGUUGGGAA